rnacentral:rRNA from 1 species
UACGAAGGGGGCUAGCGUUGUUCGGAUUUACUGGGCGUAAAGCGUACGUAGGCGGGUCGUUAAGUCAGGUGUGAAAUCCCGGAGCUCAACUCCGGGACUGCCUUUGAUACUGGCGACCUUGAGGCUGGAAGAGGUUAGUGGAAUUCCCAGUGUAGAGGUGAAAUUCGUAGAUAUUGGGAAGAACACCAGUGGCGAAGGCGGCUAACUGGUCCAGAUCUGACGCUGAGGUGCGAAAGCGUGGGGAGCAAACAGG